rnacentral:rRNA from 1 species
UCCCUACGGGACGCAGCAGUGGGGAAUAUUGCACAAUGGGGGAAACCCUGAUGCAGCGACGCCGCGUGAGUGAAGAAGUAUUUCGGUAUGUAAAGCUCUAUCAGCAGGGAAGAAAAUGACGGUACCUGACUAAGAAGCCCCGGCUAACUACGUGCCAGCAGCCGCGGUAAUACGUAGGGGGCAAGCGUUAUCCGGAUUUACUGGGUGUAAAGGGAGCGUAGACGGCAUGGCAAGUCAGAUGUGAAAGCCCGGGGCU